rnacentral:rRNA from 1 species
UACGUAGGGUGCGAGCGUUUGUCCGGAAUUAUUGGGCGUAAAGAGCUUGUAGGCGGUCUGUCGCGUCUGCUGUGAAAAUCCGGGGCUCAACCCCGGACUUGCAGUGGGUACGGGCAGACUAGAGUGUGGUAGGGGAGACUGGAAUUCCUGGUGUAGCGGUGAAAUGCGCAGAUAUCAGGAGGAACACCGAUGGGCGAAGGCAGGUCUCUGGGCCACUACUGACGCUGAGAAGCGAAAAGCAUGGGGGAGCGAACAGG